rnacentral:rRNA from 1 species
GAGAGAGACAUGCGCGCAUAUCAAUAAGCGGAGGAAAAGAAACUAACAAGGAUUCCCCUAGUAACGGCGAGUGAAGCGGGAAGAGCUCAAAUUUGAAAUCUUAAAGGGUUUCCCUUUACGAAUUGUAGUUUAAAGAAGUGUUUUCUGUUGAGGUUUUGGUAAAAGUUCUUUGGAAUAGGACAUCAUAGAGGGUGAGAAUCCCGUAUUUGACCUUUACUUUCAACUUUGUGAUACACUUUCAAAGAGUCGGAUUGUUUGGGAAUGCAGUCCAAAAUGGGUGGUAAAUUUCAUCUAAAGCUAAAUAUUGGCGAGAGACCGAUAGCGAACAAGUACCGUGAGGGAAAGAUGAAAAGAACUUUGAAAAGAGAGUUAAACAGUACGUGAAAUUGUCAAAAGGGAAGCGUUUGACACCAGUGUUGUUUUUCUGAAAAUCAAUUAAAGAACUGUUUAUGCUAAGUUGUUUAGACUUUAUCAGCUAACUGUUUAGUUUUGAGCUUUUCUUUAAUGCACUUUUCAGUUAACAAGUCAACAUCAAUUUCUUUUGCUGUAAAAAAGCUUGAGGAAGGUGGCUUGAGAUUCGUCUUAAGUGUUUAUAGCCUCUCGCCUAUGCAGUCGGAGAGAUUGAGGUCUGCAGCGUAGAUCCUUCGGGGCUAAAUGCAUUUGUGCUAAGUUAUAGCAUUUUAUAGACAACUUGUUGACUAUGAUUUGUCUUGUAGCUUACUCGCUUAUGUUAUUUUACCUACGCUUAGGAUGUUGACGCAUGAGAUAUACGC